CUCCAUUAUCGGAAAGGUUUCUCCCAUCGACACCACCAUUCCUCCCUUCGAUUCGUCGCACUCUUCACCACCACUACGGUUACCGACGUGCUCGUCACCACCACCACCACUGAGGCGCUCGUCACUACCACCACUCCGUUAGGAAACAAAGAGAAGACUCGAGAUCUGGAGUCCGUCGACGAAUCUCUCCAGGUCUUUGAGAUUGCCCGCCAACAAGUCCAUCAACGAAUCUCUCAACAGUUCUCCGUCCCUCCCUUACCGGUUUAGUCUCUCAUUGGAACACCAUCAUUUCGUUUUUUUUUUCUUCACACAUAUUUUACAUUUAACUGCUUGAUUGAUUCUUCCUCCACACUCAUACUUUGACAUGGAUUCUUUUGUAGAUUUAAAAAAUUAUUAAUCUUGGAUGGGUUUGGAUCACAAAGAAACUGAAUCACCACCUGGAACUCUGUGUUUACAUGCAUUUUCAGAUUUAACCCAUGUUUCUCCGCUUGUGUUCUUAUACCUUCUCAAAGAAUGCUAUAUUCAUGGAAGCCUCAAGGCAACAAAGAAGUUCCAAGAGUUGCAGCACCGAGUCCAUCAAGUUCUCGCCAACGUAUGUGUGUAUGUUGGUGAUGCAGUGGUUCGCGCGAAGAUGCUACCAGGAUUGGAUUAGCUGGUGUGGUUAGGAGGCAGGCUGUGGCUAGGAGGACAGCAGAUGGUGGUAGAGAUAUAUAGAGAAGGAGACGGAGUAGAGGAAGACGUCGAGAAGAAAGAGGCAAAGCAGGAAGGAGGCGGCAGUAGAGAGAUUAGGUUUAGGGGUAAUUAUGUUUAGAUUUGGUUUAAGGUUAAUUAGAUUUUGGUUAAUGGUUUCUGGUUUAGUUUACUUAAUUUUUUUAAAUGCUGGUUUAGUUUUGUAAAACUAAUUUCAUUUGUAAAUUAUUUUAAUUAAUAAAUAAAAUUCAAUUUUAGUUUUAA